CCGCCAGUACCAUAAUAUGAUGAGCCAUCAACCUAGUCCGAGAAUGAGGACGCCUUUCCGGAUUGUGUGGAGGCCUGAUUCGAUGUUGGUACAAUCAGAGUUUGAUGAUGUCCGUUAAGAAUUGCAGAAGAAAGCUGUGACGCGUCCCACAUCGCGCUCCCACUCGCCACAGCGCCGGCCGACCGUACGUCAUGGAAAGUUCCGCGGACCGAUGCCGACGCGAGCGGCACAGGUGAGCGAAGACGAGACUACAAAAGGUCGCCAGCCGGAACGAGCGAUACACUCAUUGGAGGAGCUUGCUACGGUAGGAACCUCAACCGGGCGUGGGACUGAUGCAGAGUAAUUGUAGCGCGUGACGAAGAUGUGCCCAGGUCGUGCGAAUUGCUCGUCUUCCGCCCCCCGUAGGGACUAUCCUCUCCCGUCCGUCUCCUGGGUUGGGUAGCGAUUGCUGGGUGUGACCAAGGUGUGUCCAGGCCGUGCAAAUCGCUCACCCUUGACCCCCGCAUACCCACCUAACCCCUGUCCGCGUCCUGUGUUGGGAGAACAAUUGCUGCGUGUGACCAAGGUGUGUCCAGGCCGUGCGAAUUGUUCACCCUUCAACACCGUAAACCUACCCUUUAGCUCAACGU